CUGGGGGCCAACCACACAUAGGAAAGGUUGUGUCCACUGUAGCACCUGUACUGGCCCCUGUUGGCAAGGUACACAGGGCUGCAAGGGAGAAGUCAGGGCUGUG